UUUCCGUAGAUGAACCUGCGGAAGGAUCAUUACAGAGUUCAUGCCCUCACGGGUAGAUCUCCCACCCUUGAAUAUUUAUACCUUAGUUGCUUUGGCAGGCCGUGGAAACACCAUGGGCUCCGGCUUAUGCGUGCCUGCCAGAGGAAACAAACUCUGUUUUUAGUGAUGUCUGAGUACUAUAUAAUAGUUAAAACUUUCAACAACGGAUCUCUUGGUUCUG
rnacentral:misc_RNA from 1 species